CUUCACCCACUUCAUCAUAAGAGCAUGGAUAUAAAUGUCUGACUACUUAAAGACUUCUUAACAGAUGUUGAACUUUAUUCAACUGAAAGUUUACAAAACAGAUGAGUAAAUUAGUGCUUUAGAAUUUAUCAAGAAAAAAAUAUUU